GCAUAGCUCCGUGGUAGAGCACCUGCUUUUCAUGUAGAAGGUUGCAAGUUCAAUCCCCGGCAGCUGCA